rnacentral:rRNA from 1 species
CAGUAGCCGCGGGAAUACCAGCAGCCCAAGUGGUGGUCGCGUUUAUUGGGCCUAAAGCGCUCGUAGCCUGACCGGUAAGUUCCCCGUGAAAUCGGGUCGCCCAACGAUUCGGCUUGCGGGGAAUACUGUCGGUCUUGGGGCCGGGAGACGCCGAGGGUACUCCGGGGGUAGCGGUGAAAUGCUGUAAUCCUCGGGGGACUACCAGUGGCGAAGGCGCUCGGCGAUAACGGGCCUGACGGUGAGGGGCGAAAGCUGGGGGCGCGAACGGGAUUAGAGACCCCGGUAGUCCCUGUCUCUUAUU